rnacentral:rRNA from 1 species
GUCCACGCCCUAAACGAUGAUGACUAGUUGUUGGAGGAGUUAAAUCCUUUAGUAACGCAGCUAACGCGUGAAGUCAUCCGCCUGGGGAGUACGGUCGCAAGAUUAAAACUCAAAGGAAUUGACGGGGGCCCGCACAAGCGGUGGAUGAUGUGGUUUAAUUCGAUGCAACGCGAAAACCUUACCUACCCUUGACAUGUCAGGAACUCUGCAGAAAUGCAGAGGUGCUCGAAAGAGAACCUGAACACAGGUGCUGCAUGGCUGUCGU